GGGGAAUAUUGCACAAUGGAGGAAACUCUGAUGCAGCGACGCCGCGUGAACGAUGAAGGCUUUCGGGUCGUAAAGUUCUGUCCUUGGGGACGAUAAUGACGGUACCCAAGGAGGAAGCCCCGGCUAACUACGUGCCAGCAGCCGCGGUAAUACGUAGGGGGCAAGCGUUGUCCGGAUUUAUUGGGCGUAAAGGGUGCGUAGGCGGCCAUUUAAGUCAGAUGUGAAAGAUCACGGCUCAACCGUGGUAAGCAUUUGAAACUGAAAGGCUUGAGUUAAGGAGAGGAAAGUGGAAUUCCUAGUGUAGCGGUGAAAUGCGUAGAUAUUAGGAGGAAUACCAGUGGCGAAGGCGACUUUCUGGACUUAUACUGACGCUGAGGCACGAAAGCGUGGGGAGCGAAC
rnacentral:rRNA from 1 species